UAAGAAGGAGGCAACCUUGGACUUCUUUUUCCUCCACUUUCCCUUGAACAGAAGGUUGCAUUGUGUUUUUCCAGCUGACUUUGCUUUCCAGCUAGGCUGCUGUGAGAGGAAAGAGCAAACAAUAAGAAGAACCUUUUUCUCAUGGAGUUUUGGGCUCUCCGAAAAAUUGUGCACUUUCUCAGCGGAGAAAAAGCUCAGUUUCUUUUCUCUGUCUUCCCCUCUCCUUGACAUCUCCCAAUUCAGUCAUUUUUAUUACAAGUUUCUCAAUCCCCUUUACAUUUUCCCCUCAGGAUACGCCACUUGUCUUCUUCGGAGCUGUAGGGCUGGAUUGAUCUUUUCUCUAUGGUCACUGUUUUCUUCUAUGGUCUUUUCUCUAUGGUCACUCUUUCUUGAUAGAAAGACUCCUGCAGUCUUUUUCAGAUCUCAAUCCUUAAUGCAUCUCUGUUGGUCUCCAAUGAUUUGGCUGUCUGAGACUCUUUUUUUUUUUUUAAGAUUUUUUUAACCUAAUUUUAUUCCUUAGGUAAAUUGAACUCCCCCAAGCCACUGAAGAUUGCUAAGGGUCUUCAUUUUGGCAAUAUAGAUCCAAAUAUUGUGAUAACAGAGGUUACCAAAGGACUUUGUCUCCAUUAUAUAGGAAUAGCAUCCAGCUGUGGCAAGAGAGAACAUUAACUGUAACUUGAAGACUGAGUCCAAGGUGAGCAUAAGAAGAAAGCUAUAGGCAU
rnacentral:lncRNA from 1 species